UAAAUGUGCCGUCACCUGCUAGUGACUUCUGCCUUGAGACAAGUAAAGGUGGUAGGUCAUAAGGUCCACAGAUUUGCCAAUCCUUGUUUGGCUCCUCAAUGGCAAUGAACUAUGAGAAGUGUUCACAUUGUUAGCCAAAAACCUGAGAGCAUUAUUGGUGUAUAGAAUCUAGAAGCUGAGGACAAUUCCACACUGGAAACUUUGGUGCUAAAAUAGUUUAAGUGAAAAGUGCCAUUGGUGAGAAUAUUACAUUUGGUAAAUUCUGAUUAGUAAAUACUGAUCUCUGUGCUUGGUAGGCUCUCAGAGUAGAACUUUCUACCUUCUUACUUUUCUUCCACUGGGACAUGGGUUUUUAAAGUCAACUGGGCAGGGUCAAGGUGAAGAUGCUAGAUGUGAAGUUUGAUUUCAUUGUGGCUCUCAAUGUUAUUGCCCAAACGUGUUAUUUAUAUUCAAGAGUUAAACUUCUUUCCGCCCACCACCCCUUCCCAAAAAUGAGAUGAUGUUAUAAGGACCUCACAAAAUUCUUCAUCCUGUGAGGAUUAAAUUUCUAAUGGGGUACAGAACUGUUGGAAGGGAGCCUGCUCUAGGACUCAGGAAUUGUGUAAACCUUACAUAAAACCAUCACAUAACUCUAAAUAACAGUACAGGUAAACAGACUUGAGUGACUAAGGGUUGAACAAGGAUAACUCAAAGAAUAUAAUCAAAAGGUAAUUCAUUUUGGUCUCUUACUGCCUUUCUAAACUUUAUUUAACAGGGCUAUCUGCUGUGCCAGAUUAGAAAUAGUGCAGGUUCCAUGGUGUAUCAGCUCACUCUUGAAUAAUAAACAUUUGUAUUGACCUUUGACAUCAUAAAAUGUCCUAAUAAGACAUUUAGAAUGCAGUCCCAUGUUUUAGUCAAAACUCUGAACUUGACUUUGGGUGACACCUUCUACCCAACUCUAAAUCAGGUUUGUGACAGGUUGGAGCCAGACUGUGGAGACCAUGGUCCUUCUCUUUUGCUUUGCUGCCCUGCCCAUCUCCCCAUUCACGAUUGCACUGUUUGGUCAGCAGAGUCACGACGGAAACGUUCUCACAGCCAUUUCCCAGCAACAGGCUGGCAGGACCACCCCAAUGUUUCCAGUAAAGUCACUAACCAUUCUCUAGCUCUCCCAGCUGGGAGUCAGGCUUGAGUCCAGUUAGAAUUACUUUUCUCAAGUGUGGGUAAGGCACCAGACCUUUUGGUCUCCCAAUUUCAGAGAACAUAUUCAAAAGUUCUUAGCAUAAUCUCCUGGAGGAAGCCCUCUAAGUAGGCUUCGGCUGAGAAGGCAGCAGCCUUCCCAUCCCGGAAGAGGCAAUAGUCAUCUCCGCCCAAAAUCUCUUUACCAGUCUUUUGAUGAAAACUUAAACGUGAACAUCCUAUUAGAGGAGCACAUUAGAGACUGGAUACACUUUCUAGAACAGAUAUUCCUAAUUCAGGAGCUGAUUGCAGAAAGAAUGCCCAUUCCUGAACUCAGCUGAGAGCAAUCAGUGCUAAUUCCCCACGUGUACCAGCUUCCCACGGAUGCCGAAGUGGUCCCAAAAUCCUCUGUCCGCAGGCACAUCAGGGUUUCUCUCCCGAACUCCGUGGAUCUCCACUCCUUGUCACGCUUCUCGCCCUCACAGGGAUACAAGGAGACAAAUAAGGAAAAGUUCCUCAGGCAUUGUCUAGCCUUGCAUCAAGUUAAUUUCCAGGAGGGCUGAAUCUUAAAUUUGAAGAUGCUGAGCACCAGAGGAAUUAAGAAUACAAUCGUCUUGUAUCCAGUGUCAUGGAUAGCUACUUAAAAUCUCCUGGACAGAGUUUGCAGAUAUAUAUUUUGAAAAUCUUACUCUCAGUAUUUAUUUCAACUCUUUCGGUAAAUUUUAGAGUUUAAAAAAAUAGAAGAAGAAGGACAAGAAAACAGUGGCUCUCACUGCUGGAGCGAGGCGGAAGGAGCACGGAAAGAUGGCGCCGGCCCCCUGGCCUCCUCUAGGAAGGCACCUGUAGGUGCCCACACACCAGAUGCCUGUCCUCAGGCCGACGGGGCAAGACCAGCAAAUGACCCUCCUUCAGUCUGGACGCCUCUCCUUUAGCCGCUUGUGUGCAGGACCCUGGAGUAGGAGGAGUGAUGAGCUGAACCUAAGCGUGUCUGUGUUUGAUAGACUCUGAGGAGGAGAGUUUUUUGAAUAGAGAAGAUUUCUGGUAUCCACCAUCUGCCUCUGACCAUGGACCACUCUCUGGACAAUUUCAGUAUGAAGGCUUUUCAGAGGAUGGACAACAGGUCUAAAACUGCCUUCCAUCAUCUUUCCCUGUAUAUAGACCUCUUUCCAUGGUCCUGCUUCACUGAAUACCAUGGCUUUUUGCCUUCCCUCACUGAGUACAUUCAAUCCAAUACCUGGUGCUGCUGCUGCUAAGUUGCGUCAGUCGUGUCUGACUCUGCGACCCCAUAGAUGGCAGCCCACCAUGCUCCGCCGUCCCUGGGAUUCUCCA